GACGAACGCUGGCGGCGUGCUUAACACAUGCAAGUCGAACGGAAAGGCCCUGCUUUUGUGGGGUGCUCGAGUGGCGAACGGGUGAGUAACACGUGAGUAACCUGCCCUUGACUUUGGGAUAACUUCAGGAAACUGGGGCUAAUACCGGAUAGGAGCGCCUGCUGCUUGGUGGGGGAUGGAAAGUUUCGGCGGUUGGGGAUGGACUCGCGGCUUAUCAGCUUGUUGGUGGGGUAGUGGCUUACCAAGGCUUUGACGGGUAGCCGGCCUGAGAGGGUGACCGGCCACAUUGGGACUGAGAUACGGCCCAGACUCCUACGGGAGGCAGAAGUGGGGAAUAUUGCACACUGGGCGGAAGCCGGAUGCAGCAACGCCGCGUGCGGGAUGACGGCCGUCGGGUUGUAAACCGCGUUCGCCUGUGACGAAGCGUGUGUGACGGUAAUGGGUAAAGAAGCACCGGCUAACUACGUG
rnacentral:rRNA from 1 species